rnacentral:lncRNA from 1 species
GAGAACGGAACCUCCACCUUUGCCUUGCCUCUGCCAUCACCUGCACCUCCCCCCGGGGGCCAUCGCAGCAGCCCCCUGCAGACCCCCCUCUCCAGCUCACCCCUCCUUUCUGUCCAGUGGCUAUCCCCCAUGCAGGGUCCUAUCACUGCGAGGCCUCCUCUGCCCCCCGCGGCGCAGCGUUGCUCUGUAGGAGGAAGAGAGCGUUGGGUGUGUUGGAAUCACACCAGUCCCUCACACCUGUUUCCCCCGAAGUCACUGGGAAGCGUUCGUUGCUGUUUGCAACAAAUACCCACGCACAAAGCUGGUAAAACAAGGUGGAUGAGAUGUCUGUGUUUCUGUUUGGAUUCAGGUCAGCGUGAUUUCCCUACCUCGGCCCCAGAAGACAGAGCUUUUGUCAGCGGCUGCGGUGUCUCUGGUACACAAGUGCAUGCGCGUGUGUGGACGUGUGGAGUCCCGACAACAAAAAGGGGAGCUAGCUGGGGUGUCGGCAAGUACAAGAGCCCGUGCAAAGACUCCAAGAAAGUGCUGGAAAGAGGAAGAGAUGGGAUAUCAACCAUUAGACUUGGCAUCCUUCUCUUCUAAGAGAACUGGCAUGGCCUCACUUUCUCAGAAACCCAGAGAGGCUUGCUGCUCUUGUUCUCCUGCGAGCGAGCAACAAAAUGAAGAAAUUAAUAGGGGUGUGAAGCCAGGAGGGACGUCGCUGGCCCCUGGAGGAAGCAGGGCGACAUCCUGUACCCUUGAAAAGAAAACGGAAAGUCCUUUUCUUCACGAGAAACUAUUGUGUUUUCCUAACCCACAGGGACGUAGCAGCCUGCUGGAGCCCACCCCGAGGAGCCCUGUGCUAUAUGAUACAUGUCCUGGUGAGAGGAACCUCUUUUCUGGCUGUUAAAGUACAUUCCUGUGUAGAUGUGGAAGGAGAGAAAGCG